GAUGAACGUUGGCGGUGCGUCUAAUACAUGCAAGUCGAGCGAGGCUUCGAGCCGAGCGGCGGACGGCUGAGUAACACGUUGGUAGCUACCCCGAACUCAGGGAUAACAUCGAGAAAUCGAUGCUAAUACCGGAUAGUCCCGAAAGGGUAAAGAUUUUUCGGUUCGGGAGGUGCCUGCGGCCUAUCAGCUAGUUGGUGAGGUAAUAGCUCACCAAGGCUAUGACGGGUAACUGGUCUGAGAGGAUGAUCAGUCAGAGGGAAACUGAGACACGGUUCCCACUCCUACGGGAGGCAGCAGUAAAGAAUCUUCCACAAUGGACGAAAGUCUGAUGGAGCGACACCGCGUGCAGGAUGACGGCCCUUGGGUUGUAAACUGCUUUUCUGAGGGAAUAAUUAUGAAGGUACCUUAGGAAUAGGCACCGGCUAAUUCAGUG
rnacentral:rRNA from 1 species